GACGAACGCUGGCGGCGUGCCUAACACAUGCAAGUCGAGCGGGGACAGUGAGGAGCUUGCUUCGAGCUGUCCUAGCGGCGGACGGGUGAGUAACGCGUGAGCAACCUGCCUUUCACAGGGGGAUAACGCAUCGAAAGAUGUGCUAAUACCGCGUAAGACCACAGCAUCACAUGGUGCAGGGGUCAAAGGAGCAAUCCGGUGAAAGAUGGGCUCGCGUCCGAUUAGCUAGUUGGUGAGAUAACAGCCACCAAGGCAACGAUCGGUAGCCGACCUGAGAGGGUGAUCGGCCACAUUGGAACUGAGAAACGGUCCAGACUCCUACGGGAGGCAGCAGUGGGGAAUAUUGGGCAAAUGGGCGAAAGCCUGACCCAGCAACGCCGCGUGAGGGAAGAAAAGGUUUCGGCUCGUAAACCUCUGUCCUAUGGGACGAAGAAGGUGACGGUACCAUAGGAGGAAGCCCC
rnacentral:rRNA from 1 species